CUUGAACGUGGCAAGAGAAGUCAAAGGGCGAAUUCGAGUGGAUCACUUUUUGUGAAGACGCCGAACAACGUUGUCCACCGCUUUUCAAAGCCGCUUACCGGCCUCAACAGCAGACCACGUGUAACUACACCAGCCCAGGACCUCCACAUUUGGCUUUUUCACCUGCGGUAUCAUCUGAAGGGGUGUGGGAAGUAUGCUGGUCAAAGCUGAGAAAAGCUCUGAUGGAGGAGCUCAACCAGGGCUUGCGACCACUGAAGCAAAAUGCAGAGAAGAAGUUCUGCAGCCGCUCGUUGUGUGUCAACAACAACAACAUCACAGACUUUAAUAAUACAUCUCACCUGGGUUCUACCUGUCCUUCAACGACAUCUCACUCACCAGUGUGUUGAGUUCACACAGUCACGCACACAGGAUGUCUCUGGACCAAACUGGUGCACUAUAUAAGCAAUAUUGUGUCAUUUCAGACAAGCCUCUCCCUGAAUGGACACAGGUGGCAGGGUGGUCAAAUGAAUUUCUCUAGUACAGGUAUUCCCAA